rfam:Macaca mulatta chromosome 13, whole genome shotgun sequence.
AUUCUUUCUCAGCAAAUACUUUGACUACCAUGUCAGUAUUAAUAAACGAGCACUAUUAUAAUGGUGCUUUUAUGUACUUCAUGCAUUACUGCUAGUCCUCAUGAAUAAUAUAUA